UAGCUCAACCAGUAGAGGAUGGCAUUCACAAUGCCAGGGUUGGGGGCUCAAUUCCCACUGGGGCCA